GAAAUCUUUAUUUUUCAAAGGGAAUCUCAAAGAGAAGUUUAAUGAAAGAUGGUUUCUGCCAUGAUUUUCAUCAUAUACAACAAAUGCGAAUUUUGUGCAAUAUUUCCUAAGUAAAACAAAACAAAACAAAACAAAAAACCCCUAAAAAACAAACAAACAAAACUAAGCUUUUUCAUUGCCAGUUCCUCUGUCCUUGGCCUCUUACAUCCAUUCUGCAUUACAUUUAUCAUCAACUCUCUGAGAAGGGCAACAAUACCCUAGUAUUCCCCACCGUAUUUUAUUUGUAUAGUAGAUCCUCCAAUAUUUCAGAGGCUCGCAACAGGUUUAAAAGGGAAAGCUGUCUAAGGUGUCCACCUAUCCUCCCACUUUAAUGCAGAACAUCUCAGAUCCAGACGGGUCCAAAGACUCAGCAAAGAUGACUCUGCAGUUAGUGAAGAGCAAGGACUGUAUUCAGGACCUAUCUCCAGCCUUGCAGAUAGAGUAUCUCCAUCAUUUCACUGGGGGGCAUGGAAAUUGAAUGCCUCACUGGUAUUUGCCUUAUCUUAUUGUUAAUAGUGUUGUCUGAUGGAACCCAAACUCCGCAGAAAGUGAGCAACUGAAACUAGAUUCUAAUUAGAGCAAGAAAAAUGGAUACCACAUGAUAUACCACAAAAGAAAUACAAAUCCAGGAUUCUCAAGGAAUAUGACAAAGCAAACAUAUUUAACAAACAUAUUGUUUUGUUUCUUAUUGAUUACAUGAAAACAUUUUAAAUAUAAUAUUUGUGUGUGAGGGUAAAAAAUGCGAACAUAUUUAUGUGAUUAAUUUAAUUGAACAUAAAAUGCUUGUCUUUAUUUGCCAGAAGGGAAAUCCAAACUUAGGAGGACCAAACACAUGUCUAAGACACAUACAUCUGUUCCUCCAUCUAUCAAACCAAGCUGUGCAGGUGGUUUCCUACUCUGUGGUAGGUACACAAUGUGUAAAUGACUGGAGUUGGAACAGAAACCAUCACAACUAUCCCUGUAAAAAGGAUGACAGGAUCUUUUGCUAUUAUCAAGAGCUAUUUUAAAUGCUAAAUCAAAAGGAUGCCAACUGGUGGCCUUGUUGCUAGUCUCAGUAAAUAAGGAGAUGACUGAAUUAACAUGAAGCUUCAAAUUCAUUCCCACUUGGUAGAGAGGUCUGAAAUUGAUCUUCGUGAUAACAUGUGAAGACUUGCAGGACCGUGUUUGGUGGGGUUUUGUUUAACAGAUAAACAGCACUUACAAGUUGAUAGUGCAGUCUCUCAUUUUUACACUGUUGUGCAUCCAAAAAUAUAGGCCAAUAAGUUAGAUCAUAACAUUUCAGGUUCUUUUUCCCUGUGUUUCAAAAGUAAAGGUUGAAUCAUGUAGGUAUGAAACCACCAAAGACUCCAUCUGCAGAAAGGUGGUGUGGUGUAGUAGACCAGGUACUAGAAGGGGAAGCAGAUCUCUGGGGUCAAGAUGUAAUAUAUCCCUUGAUGCAUUUAGAGGUCCAUAUAGAGUCCCUAAGCCUCAUGGAACCUAUUUUUCUCAUCUGUAUGAGGUGCAUAACAAAGUCCUUGCUUAACUGCAGACAGUGUGGUGAAAAUCACAUCUAACAAUACCAUUAUAUUUGUCUGAUCUUUUAUAGUUCACAGAAUCCUUCCUGUUUGUUUGUUUGUUUUUUUCUUUUAAAAAUGCAACCAAUUAAGAGAGGCAGUACUGUAUUUUUCCUAUUUCAGUGAUAGAGAGGCUCAGAGAUUUGAAUGUGCUCAAAAUAAGGAAAUGAGAAUGGAUUUUCCUUGUUCUGGUCAUCCAGCAGUGAUCCCUGUCUAAAAGUAUAAAUGAGUGCCAUAUAUAUGGUGAGCAGGAUCACUUGGACAUGACAGCUCUAAUUUAAUUAUGUAUGUAUGUAUGUAUGUGUGUAUGUAUGUAUGUAUGUAUUUUUGCUAAAAAGCAUGUGUGGCAUAUGGAAUUUCCCAGGCUAGGAGUUGAAUCGGAGCUGCAGCUGCCAACCUAUGCCACUUGCCACAGCAAUGCGCUAUCUGAACCACAUCUGUGACCUACACCACACCCCAUGGCAACGCCAGAUCCUUAACCCACUGAGCAAGACCAGGGACCAAACCUGCAUCCUCAUGGAUACUAGGUGGGUUUGUAACCUGCUGAGCCACAAAGGGAACUCCCGACAGCUGUAAGUUUGAAAGUAGUCUGUUGACAAUAUCAAUAAUAAUAUUAGGCUUAAUUUAAAAGUAUAUAAUGCAAUUUAUUUUGUCUCUUACCCCAGUUUUUCUAUUUGGGUAGGUUACAGAAUUCAUGUUUCACAUUUCACAUCCAUAAAAUGGGGAUAAUAUAUGCAGUAAAAAUGUUGUGAUACAGUUAAAUCACGUGAAUGCUUAAAAAUUAUGUAACAGAUGGCAAGGAUUUAAAAACAUAAUCAUUUUUAUUAUUGGAAUUAUAUAAAGACAAAUUGCACAUGUAUAGGAUAAGUUUUAGCCCUGGGAAACCACCUGUCACCAGAUAAUCACUUCUUGAUAGUUUCAUGAAAUUGCCUUUAUAGUUCUGUUCCUUGUUUGCUGGGGAGACAGCCUGAUAUGUAGGGGAUGGUGGUAGCUCACUGGAUUAAGGGCCCAGAGGUUAAAUUGCAUUUUGUCACUGACUUUUUUAACCUGUUCACCUUCCUAUCAUAGUCUUGAUUUCUUGGUACACAAAGUAAGAACACUUGCAUUUUUGUUCUUAUUUAAGAUUUAAGCAAUGAUCCAUGCAUCACUAAACAAAGAGACAGUGUGCUAGCAGUUAAAGAGGUAAAGAUUAGAAAGAGAUAAUCUUUGACCUCACAGAUGUUAGAAUGUAGUAAAGGGAGUUCAGUCUGUAAAAAGAUGAUUACAGAAAGUAUUACAUAUACGUAAGAAUUGAGAUGGUAUAAACUGCAGCAGUGAAAUAGAGAUGGGAUUAAUGACUCCUUUUCAGUAAAAUGGUGUGGAGAUAACUUCAGAGUUGGUUUCUAAGAAAGAUGACAUUUGAAUUGAGUCUUGAAGAACAAGGUUAUAAGGAAGGGCUGUAUAGACAAAGGGACCAGUGUGUACAACUAACAGACUUUUUAAAAAGUACCAUCCAAGAUCUACAGUUUUGUAGAUCUGUAUUUUGUAGAGAUGUAUUUAUAGUGUUUUCAUAAAAAUUCAUCAGACCAAUUUGGAAAUUAAAAAUUAAUUAGGUCAUAAUUGUAACAUUUUUUUCACAGUAGCCAAGACAUGGAAACAACCUAACUGGAUCUAAUAUACAAUUCAGCAUGAUGACUAUAGUUAGGGUACUGUAUUGUAUACUUGAAAGUUGCUGUCUGAGUAGAGCUUUAAUGUUCUCACUGUAACAACAAAAUGACAAUUAUAUGAGGGGAGGAUGUAUUAACUAACCUUACUGAAGUAAACAUAUAUAUACAUGUAUCAGACCAUUACAUUGUAUGCCUUAACCUUAUACAAUGUUAUAUGUCAACUAUAUAUAUGUGUGUGUAUAUAUAUUUACAUAUAUAUAUAAAACUGGAAGAAAAAUAAUAAGAAAAAUAGAAGCAGUCAAAGGGAAGUAACAGGAAAACUGAGAAGAGAUAGAGUUCAGGGUGAUUAAUGCACUAUAUUUUUAUUUAUAUUAUUUGAAUUCUUUUUUGAAAUGUCCAUUGGAUUCUGGUAUUUUUCCUAAGAUGCACUUAAAACUAUGAUCAUGAUAAUUAAAAUAAUAAAAAUGACCUACAUUCAAUGAUAUGGAUACUUAAAAAUUGGUUGUAUAGUAUAUAUAUGUAUAUGUAUAUAUGGUUGUAUAGUAGUUCCCAUCCUGACUGGGGAGAAAAGAUAUAAGCACUUGGAUAUACAAACUACACGCACACACAUGAAUUGACUAAAUAUUAAAUAAUCAUUAAAAAUAACAAGUGCUUAUUGAGAUUUGAAAGAGGCAUAAUCAGCAAAGCCAUCUGGAAGGAGAUGGAUUCUGUGCUGGGCAUUGAAAUUGAAAGAUAUGGUGCAUUUCAAUUUCAGUAGAGGGAAACUAGAACAGCGGAAAGCCGUGUAUAAACAUACAGGAGUAAAAGGUGCAAUGUGUAAAGUAUCUUUGAUUUAUCAAAAAGCACGAGAGCUCCAAAGUUUCCUUCCUGUGGUCUGAAGGGACUGCUCCAUUCUGUCUCCUCAGCAUGGCAAAAUAAUAGCCAUUUCUUAACAAGCUCCCCAUUUGUGCACACUCUUAAGAUCUUUGCUACCAGAUGUUUCCAUCCUGAAGUAUUAUCCUCCAUAUAAGACAGGUGAUAAUAGACACAGAAAAGUUUAAGAGACUCUGAAGAGUAGAGGGAGAAGUUUAAGGAAGAUUUUCCUCCUUCUCAUUGGGUAUCUUAGGAGGCAGCUCAAGGUGUCUAAGCAGAGAAGGCAGGGAUGUUCCCAGAGUCCAUCAACCCCUUCACACAUGAAAAUGGUGUGAAAGUGCUAAUGAGUCCUGAAGACCAAAAGUCAUGAACUAAACUGGUAAUGCUUCUUUAUUUUUAUUUUUAUGUUUUUGGUUAUUGUUUAAAUGUGUGAUUGAAUAUGUAGCUUGAAAUCACUUUAACUGGUACUUAUAUCAGCUGUCUUCUUCACCAGCCUUCUCUGUUAAGAAAUUAUCCGUCUUUUAAAAUGUCCACUCCUCGUUUAAAUCUUUCAUAUGGCACUUUUUUUUUUUUAAACGGGACAGUGUACUAGAGUAAUUAUAUUACUUCUGCAGUCUUGUCCAGUUGUGUCAUAUUGUCAUAUUAUAUCCUCCUACCUUGCAGGACCUAACACAACGUCUUGUACUUCCCACAUAGUAGGUACUUUGGGUAUAACGUGAAAUUAACUGAGUUGUAUAGAAAAUACCAUUUAGUUUGUAUUCUAGAAAAGAACUUUAAAUACACCUCCCUGAAAAACAAGGCAAUAUCCCAUUGCUUUUCUUUCUCGUGUAUUUAAGUGGAUUCUCAAAAUUUAACCAAAGGUACAUAAGUAUUACCAAUAUUCUGUUGGUUAUAUAAUGAUAGUUUUGCAGAGAAUUUAUCCUGAAUUUUAUAAAGCAGAUGAGGCUGUUUUGUGGCUCCAUCUGAGUAUUCAUUAUGUCUUUAGAAUGCCAUUUUUCUUACCCAUCAUUCUAGAAGUCUCUUGAGGUAGGGCACUCUUUUAGAGAAUAUGUAUAUUUUCCAUGAAGAUUUAGAUUUUCACUCACCAAAAAAUAUGUACGGAAAAACCUUGGAUAUAAUUCCUGAAUAAACAUUAAGAUAUGAACAGAGAAGCUUUAGAACAGAAUCUAUAAUUUUAGGAAUUUUUUUCUUAUUUGACUUCAUCACAUUAGUAUUUGUCUUUCCUUUGUGGCUUUUUAUUUUAUUCCAUUUUCAUAAAAUCAGAAUUGUCUAAUUUAUUAAUUCCUGUCAUGAGACUUGAAAAAUCAGCGAAAUUAAGCUUUCCUUAUUUUGGUUACCAACGUCUCCAUGAGUCUGUAUGAGACUGUCCCACAAACAGGCUACCUCAAAUGGCAAAAGAUAAGAUGCUGAUUCUUUCAUGCCUAUCACAGAACAUUAAAAUUAUUUUGUUUGUAAUCUAAGGUAACCGUAACUAUGGGGAUAUCAUUAUGAAAUAGAUACUGGGGAGUCUGAGAAAAUAGAAACUACUUGCCCUAUUAAAAAUAUUUUUUUUUGGGAGUUUCCACUGUGGUGCAGUACGUUAAGGAUACAGCAUUCUUUAUGGUGGUGUGGGUUCGAUACUCAGCCUGGUGCAGUGGGUUAAAGAUCUGACGUUGCCACACUGGCAUAGGUGGCAGCUGUGGCUCAGAUUUGAUCUCUGGCCUGGGAACUUCCAUAUGCCAUGGGUACGGCUGAAAAAGAAACAAAAUAAUAUUUUUUCUGUCUCAAAUUGUGAAUCAUUCAUAACGAUGAUACACCAAGUUGUAUUUUACAAUAAAUGUAUUUACUUAAGAAGAAAUCUUUGUAUCUAAUUAAGGUAUACAGCAAACCAGAACAUUAUAAUCUGGGACUAAAAGUCAAUAUUUGACAUUUCAUAUAAAUUUAUACAUUUUCUAUAAAUAUAUAAAUUAUUGUAAGUAAUAUAUACAUAAUAUGUAAGUAUACAUAUAGGGAGAAAUAUAAACUAUAUACAUUUCAUAUAACUAUGUACAUUUAUAUAAAAUGUAUAUAUAUUUAUAUAUUCCUCCCUAUAUGUACACAUACAUAUUUACUUCCCAAAGUAUUUGCAUUUUAUAAGCAUCUAGUAAUUUAUUUAUUUAUUUAUUUUGUCUUUUUUUUUUGCCUUUUCUUGGGCCGCUCCCAUGGCAUAUGGAGAUUUCCAGGCUAGGGGUCCAAUCGGAGCUGCAGCCACCGGCCUAUGCCAGAGCCACAGCAACACAGGAUCCGAGCCGUGUCUGCGACCUACACACAGCUCACGGCAACGCCGGAUCGUUAACCCACUGAGCAAGGGCAGGGAUCAAACCCACAACCUCAUGGCUCCUAGUCGGAUUUGUUAACCACUGCGCCACGAUGGGAACUCCAGAAGCAUCUAGUAAUUUAAUGAUAACACUAAAAAAAAAAAAAAAAAAAAAAAA
rnacentral:lncRNA from 1 species